UACAGAGGUCUCAAGCGUUGUUCGGAUUCAUUGGGCGUAAAGGGUGUGUAGGUGGCGCCGUAAGUCGGGGUGUGAAAUUUCGGAGCUUAACUCCGAAACUGCAUUCGAUACUGCGGUGCUUGAGGACUGGAGAGGAGACUGGAAUUCAUGGUGUAGCAGUGAAAUGCGUAGAUAUCUGGAGGAACACCGGUGGCGAAGGCGGCAUCCUGGACCAACACUGACGCUGAGUGAGCGAAAGCCAGGGGACGCAAAACGGG
rnacentral:rRNA from 1 species